ensembl:lncRNA
UUAUUUAUUUAUUCACUUACAUUUGCAGUGUGCUUUUAUUUAUUUAAGGACAUCACGAUGCCUCGUAGAAUCAUGACUAUAAAUGUGAAAGGUAAUUGUGUGUGUGUAAAGUGUACGAUGCAAAGACAGGUACAUCAGGUGCUGUUUUCUCCUCGGCGUCAUGAGGGGACCAUACAGAAACGUGUAACCCAGACUGCUGCGGUGUGUGUGUGUGUAAAGUGUGUGAGAAACAUGUACCCCAGACUGCUGCGGUGUGUGUGUGUGUGUGUAAAGUGUGUGAGAAACGUGUACCCAAGACUGCUGCGGUGUGUGUGUGUGUGAGUAAAGUGUGUGAGAAACGUGUACCCAAGACUGCUGCGGUGUGUGUGUGUGUGUGUAAAGUGUGUGAGAAACGUGUACCCAAGACUGCUGUGAACCCUAGACUUGGAGUAUGACGCAAGAUGGAGGAUGCUGGGAUGUGGGGAGAGUUUACACUCCUUAGGGUUAGGGUAUCUCACUCCUUAGGUAUACACUCCCAGUAUCUCACUCCUUAGUAUCUCACUCCUUAGGUAGCCCAGUAUCUCACUCCUUAGGUAUACACUCCCAGUAUAUCACUCCUUAGGUAUCUCACUCCCAGUAUCUCACUCCCAGUAUAUCACUCCCAGUAUCUCACUCCAUAGGUAUACACUCCCAGUAUAUCACUCCAUAGGUAUACACUCCCAGUAUCUCACUCCCACUAUCUCACUCCCAGUAUCUCACUCCUUAGGGUUAGGGUAUCUGACUCCUUAGGUAUACACUCCCAGUAUCUCACUCCUUAGGUAUCUCACUCCUUAGGUAUCUCACUCCCAGUAUCUCACUCCUUAGGGUUAGGGUAUCUCACUCCUUAGGUAUGCACUCCCAGUAUCUCACUCCUUAGGUAGCCCAGUAUCUCACUCCUUAGGGUUAGGGUAUCUCACUCCUUAGGUAUACACUCCCAGUAUCUCACUCCUUCACAGUGGUGCACAAUUAUAACACUAGAAUAGGGUUCCAGUUCCACAGCACUUACAUCCUCAGAAUACAAGACAGAGAGUGGAGAGAGAGAGAGAGAGAGACAGAGAGUGGGACAGAGAGAGAGAGCCAGAGAGACAGAGAGACAGAGAGAGAGUGGGACAGAGGGAG